rnacentral:rRNA from 1 species
UACGUAGGGUGCAAGCGUUGUCCGGAAUUAUUGGGCGUAAAGAGCUCGUAGGCGGUUUGUUAAGUCAGCUGUGAAAGCCCGGGGCUCAACCCCGGAGGGUCAGCUGAUACUGGCAGGCUAGAGUACAGAAGAGGUAACUGGAAUUCCUGGUGUAGCGGUGAAAUGCGCAGAUAUCAGGAGGAACACCGGUGGCGAAGGCGGGUCUCUGGGCCGAUACUGACGCUGAGGAGCGAAAGCGUGGGGAGCGAACAGG